rnacentral:lncRNA from 1 species
CUGCGGGGUCAGCAGAGCCCAAGCUGUGCCCAGCUGGCACCUUCUCCAGCCUGCCAGGGAGGAGAACGCUUGCUGAGUGCCAACCUUGUCCCUCUGGCUUCUACUGCGAGGGUCCUGGACUCAGUGCCCCCACUGGAGAGUGCUGGGAAGGCUAUUACUGUGACAACCAGCAAGGGCCAGUUAUUGAUUUCACCCUUUACCCGUGCUCACAAGGCUUUUACUGCCCACAAGGGACGAGCAGGAGCACUCAGUACAGCUGUCCUGCGGGAACGUUUGGGCCAAGGCAAAAACUGAAAGCUGUCAAAGAAUGUCAAAGCUGCCCACCAGGAAAAUACUGUGAAUUCUCUGGACUUGCUGCCCCAACAGGUAUAGUGCUGUCUUCUGUGUCUGUUCACGACUACUAGAGUCCUAUCGAUGGCUGUUGGCUACUGCCAGGGAUUGAAGUCAGGACAGUAGAAUUCUAAUCUCUGCUAAGGUGAUCUGUUUCAUUUUACUUGUCGAGAACUUUCUGGGGAGAAAAAAUAUCUCAUUUUCUGUGCAAGAAUGGAGGGUGGUACUGCAGGAACUUGAAAUGUGUGCUUAAGUACUUGCCCAAACACAGGAGGCAGUGCUUGGUCUAAGUGCUUCUCUGUUCUGGAGCUGUUGGUCUGUCAUCUGUUACCAGUUCUCCACUCCACAUAAUUAGAAGCAGCUUCUCUCCUUGGUAGCCAGUUCAUCAUUAAUUUGUAGAGUAUGCAGUGACGAAGCACUUUGUCAUGGCUAAUGAUAAUAUUUCAAUCUGUGUUCUGAAAUUUGUAUUUAUGCACCUAUUAUGCGCUUUUUGUGUAUUAUUCUGUUUGCUAGGAGACUGUGCUGAGGGAUUUUGGUGCAGAAUUGGUGCCCGGGUAAGAAAUCCUCAAGAUAGGGAAUCGGGAUCUCCUUGUCCUCCUGGUCAUUAUUGUCCAGAAGGUGCACCACAUCCAAUAAAGUGCCCUCCUGGCACCUGGUGUGGCAGUGAAGGCAGUAGGAGUUUGCAGGACUGCCAGCCUUGUCCUGGAGGGUACUAUUGCAACAGCUCUGGACAGAGGGCCCCCACGGGACACUGCAGCCCAGGGUAUUACUGUGUCAGUAGGGCCCAGACCCCAACACCCACUGAUGGACUCUCAGGGGCUCCAUGUCCAGUCGGUCACUUUUGUCCUCUUGGAUCCAGGAGUCCAGAACCAUGCCCCACUGGCUCCUACAUGCCACAGACCCAUGGAGAGAAUUGCCAUGCUUGCCCUGAGGGUGAAUACUGUGUCCCUGGUGCGAAACCAGAGCUGUGUCCCCAGGGGUAUUUCUGUCCCAAGGGCACAGCUCUUCCAAUAGCUUGUGCAGCAGGGUCAUAUAACCCCUCACAAAGGCAAGCCAGCUGCCUCCCCUGUCCCCAAGGGUUCUUCUGUCCCAAAAAUUCCUCUUCUUUUUUGGAGAAUGCAUGUUCAGCUGGCCACUACUGCCCUACAGGCACCGCUUCUGGGACUCAGUUCCCAUGUCCUGAGGGGACUUACAACCCACAGAAUGGAAGCAGCCUGGUGUCUCACUGUAUCCCCUGUGAACGAGGGCACUACUGUGCACUCGCGGGGCAGGCAGAUGUUACAGGGCCCUGUCUGGCUGGGUUCUACUGCAGUGGAGGCUCUUCUAGUCCAACACCUACAGAUGGUCUUCUGGGCAACACAUGCCCAAAGGGAACUUACUGCCCGAUGGGCACUGCCUUCCCACAGCCAUGUCCUCCUGGUUAUUACAGCAACUCAACUGGGAAUACUGGGAUUGAGGACUGUCUUCUGUGUGAUGCAGGGUAUUUCUGCAGUGGGACUGGACUUCUGUCUCCAACUGGAUUAUGUGAAGGUGGAUUCUACUGCAGUGGAGGAGCUGUUUCUCCUAACCCUCCCAGGGUAAGCUGUUCUUGUGGUGUAAAUAUGGCAAACGUGGUAACAGAACUGAACACCAUUAGAUCACCAUAG